UACGGAGGGUGCAAGCGUUAUCCGGAUUCACUGGGUUUAAAGGGUGCGUAGGUGGGCUGGUAAGUCAGUGGUGAAAUCUCCAGGCUUAACUUGGAAACUGCCAUUGAUACUAUCAGUCUUGAAUACCGUGGAGGUCAGCGGAAUAUGUCAUGUAGCGGUGAAAUGCUUAGAUGUGACAUAGAACACCAAUUGCGAAGGCAGCUGGCUACACGAAUAUUGACACUGAUGCACGAAAGCGUGGGGAUCAAACAGG
rnacentral:rRNA from 1 species